UACGUAGGUGACCAGCGUUGUCCGGAUUUACUGGGCGUAAAGAGCGCGCAGGCGGUCGUUCAAGUCGAGUGUGAAAGCCCCCGGCUCAACUGGGGAGGGUCACUCGAUACUGAUCGACUUGAAGGCAGGAGAGGGAAGCGGAAUUCCUGGUGUAGCGGUGAAAUGCGCAGAUAUCAGGAAGAACACCAAUGGCGAAAGCAGCUCUCUGGGACGGUACUGACGCUGAGACGCGAAAGCGUGGGGAGCGAACAGG
rnacentral:rRNA from 1 species